rnacentral:rRNA from 1 species
UACGUAGGGGGCAAGCGUUUGUCCGGAAUCACUGGGCGUAAAGGGUGCGUAGGCGGUUUGGUAAGUCUUAUGUGAAAUCUAUGGGCUCAACUCAUAGACUGCAUGAGAAACUGCCGGGCUUUGAGUAUGGGAGAGGUGAGUGGAAUUCCUGGUGUAGCGGUGAAAUGCGUAGAUAUCAGGAGGAACACCUGUGGCGAAAGCGGCUCACUGGACCAUAACUGACGCUGAUGCACGAAAGCUAGGGGAGCAAACAGG